rnacentral:rRNA from 1 species
AGUCGCCGCGGUAAUACAGAGGGUGCAAGCGUUAAUCGGAAUUACUGGGCGUAAAGCGCGCGUAGGUGGUUUGUUAAGUUGGAUGUGAAAGCCCCGGGCUCAACCUGGGAACUGCAUCCAAAACUGGCAAGCUAGAGUACGGUAGAGGGUGGUGGAAUUUCCUGUGUAGCGGUGAAAUGCGUAGAUAUAGGAAGGAACACCAGUGGCGAAGGCGACCACCUGGACUGAUACUGACACUGAGGUGCGAAAGCGUGGGGAGCAAACAGGAUUAGAUACCCCGGUAGUCCCUGUCUCUUAUACA